rnacentral:rRNA from 1 species
AUCGCCCCCCGACAACACACAAAUGGGGGGUACUGCCUGCCCAGUGAACUCAUUAAACGGCCGCGGUACCCUGACCGUGCAAAGGUAGCACAAUGACUAGUCUCCUAAUUAGGGACCGGUAUCAAUGGCAAGACGAGGGCCUAACUGUCUCCCCCUCUAAAACCCAAACUUCUCUAGUCGUGCAAAAGCGACCAUAAUAGCGUAAGACGAGAAGACCCUAUCGAGCUUCAGAGGCUAGAACGGAAAACCCACCCCCCGACAUUUUAAUCCCGAUAACCCUCGAUCCACCCUUUCCUCAAUUCAACCCCCUCUUUGGUUGGGGCAACCGCGGAGAACACCCACCCUCCACAAUGACUCAUCAACGAUUCCAAAUCAAAAACUAUAACCUUUAACAUACUCUGAUCCAAAUUAAUUGAUCAAUGAACUAAGUUACCGUAGGGAUAACAGCGUAAUCCCUUCCAAGAGUUCACAUUGACGAAGGGGUUUGCGACCUCGAUGUUGGAUCGGGUCAUCCUGAUGGUGCAGCCGCUAUCAAGGGUUGGUCUGUUCGACCAUUAAAGACCUACGUGAUC